rnacentral:misc_RNA from 1 species
GAUGAAGAACGCAGCGAAAUGCGAUAAGUAAUGUGAAUUGCAGAAUUCAGUGAAUCAUCGAAUCUUUGAACGCACAUUGCGCCCCCUGGUAUUCCGGGGGGCAUGCCUGUUCGAGCGUCAUUUCACCACUCAAGUCUCGCUUGGUAUUGGGCAACGCGGUCCGCCGCGUGCCUCAAAUCGACCGGCUGGGUCUUCUGUCCCCUAAGCGUUGUGGAAACUUUCGCUAAAGGGUGUUCGGGAGGCUACGCCGUAAAACAACCCCAUUUCUAAGGUUGACCUCGGAUCAGGUAGGGAUACCCGCUGAACUUAAGCAUAUCAAUAAGCGGAGGA